UCCCUGGUGGCUCAUUGGUAAAGAGUCUGCCUGUAAUGCAGGAGGUCCAGGUUCAAUCCCUGGUUGGGGAA
rfam:TPA: Bos taurus chromosome 15, whole genome shotgun sequence.